UUCAACCAGAGUUCUAUAUACCCCUGGCCACACUGAUGAUCACAUGGCUCUACUCUUAGAAGAGGAAAAUGCUAUCUUUUCUGGAGAUUGCAUCCUAGGGGAAGGAACAACGGUAUUUGAAGACCUCUAUGAUUAUAUGAACUCUUUAAAAGAGUUAUUGAAAAUCAAAGCUGAUAUUAUAUAUCCAGAAUACUCCUGAGAAUUUACAUGAAAUGGCUAAACAUAAUCUCUUACUUCAUUUGAAAAAACUAGAAAAAGAAGGAAAAA
rnacentral:lncRNA from 1 species